UGGGGAAUUUUGGACAAUGGGGGAAACCCUGAUCUAGCCAUCCCGCGUGUGCGAUGAAGGCCUUCGGGUUGUAAAGCACUUUUGGCAGGAAAGAAACGUCAUGGGUUAAUACCCCGUGAAACUGACGGUACCUGCAGAAUAAGCACCGGCUAACUACGUGCCAGCAGCCGCUGUAAUACGUAGGGUGCAAGCGUUAAUCGGAAUUACUGGGCGUAAAGCGUGCGCAGGCGGUUCGGAAAGAAAGAUGUGAAAUCCCAGAGCUCAACUUUGGAACUGCAUUUUUAACUACCGGGCUAGAGUGUGUCAGAGGGAGGUGGAAUUCCGCGUGUAGCAGUGAAAUGCGUAGAUAUGCGGAGGAACACCGAUGGCGAAGGCAGCCUCCUGGGAUAAAACUGACACUCAUGCAAGAAAGCGUGGGGAGCAAACAGG
rnacentral:rRNA from 1 species